rnacentral:rRNA from 1 species
GAUGAACGCUGGCGGCGUGCCUAAUACAUGCAAGUCGAGCGAACAGAUGAGGAGCUUGCUCCUCUGACGUUAGCGGCGGACGGGUGAGUAACACGUGGAUAACCUACCUAUAAGACUGGGAUAACUUCGGGAAACCGGAGCUAAUACCGGAUAAUAUAUUGAACCGCAUGGUUCAAUAGUGAAAGACGGUUUUGCUGUCACUUAUAGAUGGAUCCGCGCCGCAUUAGCUAGUUGGUAAGGUAACGGCUUACCAAGGCAACGAUGCGUAGCCGACCUGAGAGGGUGAUCGGCCACACUGGAACUGAGACACGGUCCAGACUCCUACGGGAGGCAGCAGUAGGGAAUCUUCCGCAAUGGGCGAAAGCUUGACGGAGCAACGCCGCGUGAGUGAUGAAGGUCUUCGGAUCGUAAAACUCUGUUAUUAGGGAAGAACAAAUGUGUAAGUAACUAUGCACGUCUUGACGGUACCUAAUCAGAAAGCCACGGCUAACUGCGUG